rnacentral:lncRNA from 1 species
CUCCUGCAACCGUUGUCACCCUCCUGUACGACUGAGUAUUCACAUUAACGUCCAAAAGGUUCUCGUCACCCCGCUCCUCUCUCUCUCUCUCUAACGGAGUCAGUCAAGCAGUGGGUCUGUCAGGGAGGGGAAGACGGUACGGCCCGGCGUUGAGCGCCUGGCAGCGUCGUAAGCCCGGCAGAGCCUUGGGAUGCGAUGCGGGAUGGGGACACCUCUCGGUAACUGUAAACGCCAGCUGACACGUGAGGGGAUUCCCCGCCUACGCCACCCCCUGCCCC